AGGAUGAACGCUGGCGGCGUGGAUAAGGCAUGCAAGUCAAGGGGGCCGUCGCAAGAGGCAACCGGCAGACGAGGUAGUAAUAAGUAGGUACGAACUUUCGAGUCGCGAAUAGCUCGGCGAAAGCCGAGGUAAUACGCGAUAGUCCCUCCGGGGUAAAGAUUUAUCGCUCGAAAAUCGGCCUGCUCGGUAUCAGCUAGUUGGUAAGGUAACGGCUUACCAAGGCUAUGACGCCUAGGGGACCUGAGAGGGUGACCCCCCACCGAUGGGACUGAGACACGGCCCAUACACCUACGGGUGGCUGCAGUCGAGAAUCUUCCGCAAUGGACGAAAGUCUGACGGAGCGACGCCGCGUGAUGGAUGAAGUUUCUUCGGGACUAAACAUCUUUUAGUAGGGGAGGAAGUCUAUUGACGUUACCCUACGAAUAAGAGGUUGCUAAACUCGUGCCAGCAGCCG
rnacentral:rRNA from 1 species